AAUGACAUUCAUCAUUGGAAAUUUGCACCUCUACAUAGUCUCUCUUGGUUCUUAUUUUUCACCCUUGCCCAGCCCUCCCUUCAAGCCCUCCAGUCCUCCCUAUUUACAAAGAUUUUGUUCCUAUUUUUCCAUUUUCUCAUAUUAAUCCCAUUCCCUUCUAUCCUUUCCCCUAGCCCUCCCACUUCCUUCCCCUUUGCCCCUUUUCUUCCUAUUUCACAUGACCUAUUAUACAUUUAGUCCUUAUUUACACUUUCAGUUUCUCACACCAGAGAAACUAUUCGGUAUUUACACAUGUACCACGCUAUUUUUAAAAGAAUCACCCGAAGUGACUCUUACAGAUUGCCUAUUUCUGUCUCCGGACUAGUACUUGUAACAGGCAGCCAAGGACCGAGAAGGGCUCCAGCAAACUUUAAUAAUCUUUAACUCUAGGCAAGGGCGCGCGAGCGCCGUGGAGGGAAGGGGAUAACCACACCUCCUGUGUUUGCUAAGGUUGGGGCGUACAGCUUGGUGCAAGUAGCCCGGGCAUCGGAAUAUAACGGAUGUGGACUUCGCCACGCAUUUGGUACCUGUACUCUGUGAGGCAAAUUACUUUCUCUGAGCAUUGGCUUUCUGGUCUUGAAACCGAGAAUAAUACCAUAGUUCCUACCUCGUGUAAAUUGUUCCUCUGCUUGAGCCAGGCGUGGUGGCGCACGCCUGUAAUCCCAGCACUCGGGAGGCUGAGCUAGGAGGAUCACUGUGAGUCCAAGGCCAGCCUGAACUACAGAGUGAAACCCUGUCCAAAAAAAAAAAAAAAUUGUUACGCGGCUAAGUGGGAUAGCUUCUGUUAAGCGCUGGCGAUCGGCAAGAGCUCUAUACACUGGAGGGUUGUGUCCACAUACAGGGUCUCAGAGCCACAUUCGGCUGAUUGGAGAUUUGUAAAACGUUUUUUUCUUUUCACCUGAACUGGACCCCAAUUUUGUUUACCUCCAAUUGCAGAUUAAAUGCCUGUCGCCGAAUAGGUUUCUGUGGAUUUGCCAGCCCGCAGCUGAAGUUUACCUUCACCGCUGUACAAAGACGCGGCACGCACGCGCAAGAAAAUGGGCAAGUGAACUGCCAAAGAAGUGAACAGCCAUGAUUCUGCGCAUGUGCAAGGCAUGGCGGCGGGAGAGACGGGAUAACCUGUCCGAGAGUAUAGCACCACUAAGACCACGCCGAAAAAUCACUAAAAAAAUCACCAAAAAUAACUUACAGGAAAGAGCAGGCCGCGGAACUUGGCCAGCGUUGGCGCAGUCGGUAAGAACCUAUAGAAGUAGCAGAGCGGUACUCGGAAGGUGGCAGUGAUGGGGUACAGGGAGUGGGCGCUGGGCCCGCCCCCACUUAAUCACAAAAAUUCCCUAGAGAUAGGGUAGGGGAUAACUUGGCCGUCUGCGAAUGAGCGGCGGUGGGCCCGAUGUGGCGCGAGCGCCGAGGGACGGGGGCGGGGGGAGGGGAGCUACAGUUUUGAGCGGGACGAAGAAGGCUGCAGCCAAGCCGCCGCCUACCAGCGGAUCUGUCAAUAAGACCCCCAGCCCAAGGCUGGGACGCGGCGGGGUCUCCGCUGGGCCCAGGCGCCCUGACAGGAGAGAGGAACGCACAUUUCCCCCCCAUUUCCGAACUGAGCUGCCUUUGCAGUUUUCCCGACCCUCGGAUGGCCGUCUUCUUUUGAUAAGAAACUUAAGUGGAUGGAAAAUUCAGGGACCCGGAGUAACGGGUGCCUCCGGUCGGAGUUAGUCCUCCCCCACCCCAGGCACCCAGCCAUCUACCUUUGACUCUGCUUCUCGAGGGCCCCAGGAAAGUGUUUCGCAUGCCUGCUGUCCUCCCUGGGCGCCUCGUCUCGGUGCGUCUUUUUAGGUGGGAAUAGGACCGGCCACUCCUGGCGCUUCCUAGCUGGCUGCGUGGGGCGGGGACAGGCUUUUGAGGUGGUAGCGGGCUCCUAGGAAAGAUGCUGGACUUUCGCUUCUUGUUCGAGAUUUGUCCUUAGCCUUCCCGGCGUUGUCCUUUCGGAGGGGGAGGGGUGUUCAGGGUGAGAUAAAAGAUGGGGCUUUGAGCUAACUAUUUUCUUGUCUGAUCGAAACCUUGAAACUUGUCUCGAAGAAAGAAAGCAAUCUGUGAAACUAUUGAUGUUUGCCUCCAGAAAAGUCUUUUAGGACAACUUUACUGGUAAUUUUGAUAGCCCCACCUUUUCUUGAGAACUCUUGACGCUGAGGCGGAGAGAAAAAAGAGGAAUUGUCUUUUCCGUUAGUGAUUUUUUUUUCUUAGCUGUUGGUGUUUAUCAACUGUUAGUCUCAGCUUAUGAAUAAAGGGAGCUAGUGACGGCUUUAACGGUAAUACUUCAUGGGUAAUAAUAGCAUUUAUAAAAAUCCCAUUUUAAGCGUUCAUUACAUAUCGAAUACCUUUUCUGCGCUGAAGGCACCACUAGAUUAACUCUUCGAUGGUGGGAUGUUUUGCGUGUGGGGCGCACGGCUCUGCAUUGAAAAUAUCGUGGAGAUGCUUUUUGCAGCAGCUAUUCAAUUCGCAAAGAGGAAUAACGCUUCCUGGGAACAGCAGUGACACGCUCUUUAGGACUGUCAGCCUAUGGAGUUUAACUCUGAAAGCAAUACAACGAUUAAUUUCGUAUAUUUCCAUGAAGACUGGGGGACCCACCCUCACUCAGUAUCUUUUCCGGAGGAGAAUAGGAGAACGAAAUGUAAUGUUUUUCAAAUUGUAUCUAACGCAGCGCUCUAAAUCCUGGACUUCUUUACCUACUGAUUGGCUGGAAGGAAGCGGGACUGGGGGGGUGUUGAAUGUUAAACGCUAGAUUAUUUUUCUCGACCUACCGUAAAAUUGUAUUAUUAGUAGAAGAACCACAGAAAUAGGUACAAAACGUUAAGACAGGGAGUUAAAGAAAAGUUAGUGUUUAAUAGGUUUUUUUCCUUCCAUAGGGGACUUUCGGAUGGUUCUGAAAUGUAUAUUAAAAGUAAAACUGAAGGGGCUGUUUUCCCAAAGUUGUAUUUCUGCUGGCUGAAAUUACAAAACCUAUGUAUUUGCUGUGUUCCUAUUGGUUAAAAACUAAGUGAAGGAUUUAGGGUGUUUUUUUUCCUUAGAUAAAAAAUUUCCAUUUUAAACUACAUGUAUUUGCUGAAUGCAGAUGACUGGAG
rnacentral:lncRNA from 1 species